AAACAUUCAGCUAUGUGGCCUUAGCUUUGCAAAAGCUAGAGAGGGUGAAUUAUACCCAGUGUUUU
rnacentral:tRNA from 1 species